UACGAAGGGGGCUAGCGUUGCUCGGAAUCACUGGGCGUAAAGCGCACGUAGGCUGACUCUUAAGUCGGUGGUGAAAUCCUGGAGCUCAACUCCAGAACUGCCUUCGAUACUGGGAGUCUCGAGUCCGGGAGAGGUGAGUGGAACUGCGAGUGUAGAGGUGAAAUUCGUAGAUAUUCGCAAGAACACCAGUGGCGAAGGCGGCUCACUGGCCCGGUACUGACGCUGAGGUGCGAAAGCGUGGGGAGCAAACAGG
rnacentral:rRNA from 1 species